rnacentral:tRNA from 1 species
GGGGCGGUAGCUCAGAUGGGAGAGCGCUGCGUUCGCAAUGCAGAGGUCGAGGGUUCGAUCCCCUUCCGCUCCACCA